GUCCACGCCGUAAACGAUGGAUACUAGCUGUUGGGAGUAAUCUCAGUGGCUAAGCGAAAGUGAUAAGUAUCCCACCUGGGGAGUACGUUCGCAAGAAUGAAACUCAAAGGAAUUGACGGGGCCCGCACAAGCGGUGGAGCAUGUGGUUUAAUUCGAUGAUACGCGAGGAACCUUACCAAGGCUUAAAUGUAGAUUGACCGAUUUGGAAACAGAUCUUUCGCAAGACAAUUUACAAGGUGCUGCAUGGUUGUCGU
rnacentral:rRNA from 1 species